AACUGGGAUUAGAUACCCCACUAUGCUUAGCCUUAAACUUAGAUAACUAUAUCACAUAUAUUAUCCGCCCGGGAACUACGAGCAUUAGCUUAAAACCCAAAGGACUUGGCGGUGCUUAACAACCCCCUAGAGGAGCCUGUUCUAGAACCGAUAAUCCUCGUUAAACCUCACCCCUUCUGGCCCAUCCCGCCUAUAUACCGCCGUCGUCAGCUUACCCUGUGAAGGACUUACAGUAAGCCCAAUUAGUCAAAACCCAAAACGUCAGGUCAAGGUGUAGCUUAUGAAGGGGAAAGUAAUGGGCUACAUUUCCUGUUGCAGGAAACACGAAAAGUGUUCUGAAAAUAACACUAGAAGGAGGAUUUAGAAGUAAGCAGGGAUCAGAGUGCCCCGCUGAAACUGGCCCUUGAGCGCGCACACACCGCCCGUCACUCUCCC
rnacentral:rRNA from 1 species